UACGUAGGGGGCAAGCGUUAUCCGGAUUUACUGGGUGUAAAGGGGGCGCAGACGGCGAUGCAAGCCAGGAGUGAAAGCCCGGGGCCCAACCCCGGGACUGCUCUUGGAACUGCGUGGCUGGAGUGCAGGAGGGGCAGGCGGAAUUCCUGGUGUAGCGGUGAAAUGCGUAGAUAUCAGGAGGAACCCCGGUGGCGAAGGCGGCCUGCUGGACUGCAACUGACGUUGAGGCCCGAAGGCGUGGGGAGCAAACAGG
rnacentral:rRNA from 1 species